rnacentral:rRNA from 1 species
UACGAAGGUCCCUAGCGUUGUUCGGAAUUAUUGGGCGUAAAGCGCACGUAGGUGGCUUUUCAAGUCAGGUGUGAAAGCCUGGGGCUUAACCCCAGAAGUGCACUUGAAACUGAUUAGCUUGAGUACGGGAGAGGUGAGUGGAAUUCCUGGUGUAGUGGUGAAAUACGUAGAUAUCAGGAGGAACACCGGUGGCGAAGGCGGCUCACUGGCCCAGUACUGACACUGAGGUGCGAAAGCAUGGGGAUCAAACAGG